rnacentral:rRNA from 1 species
GAUGAACGCUAGCGGCAGGCUUAACACAUGCAAGUCGAGGGGCAGCGCGAUGUAGCAAUACAUUGGCGGCGACCGGCGCACGGGUGCGUAACACGUAUGGAACUUACCCUUUACUGGGAGAUAGCCCGGAGAAAUCCGGAUUAAUAUCCCAUAAUAAACGAAGUGGCAUCACUUUGUUUUGAAAGCUCCGGCGGUAAAGGAUGGCCAUGCGCACGAUUAGCUAGUAGGUGAGGUAACGGCUCACCUAGGCUACGAUCGUUAGGGGGCCUGAGAGGGUUAUCCCCCANACUGGUACUGAGACACGGACCAGACUCCUACGGGAGGCAGCAGUGAGGAAUAUUGCGCAAUGGAGGCAACUCUGACGCCGCCAUGCCGCGUGCAGGAAGAAGGCGCUACGCGUUGUAAACUGCUUUUAACCGGGAAGAAACCCUCCGACGUGUCGGAGGUUGACGGUACCGGAGGAAUAAGCACCGGCUAACUUCGUGCCAGCAGCCGCGGUAAAGUCUAG